UCCACCGAUUGACUAAGGUUUCCAGAGGAAGGCUCGUCCGCUCUGGGUUAGUCGGGUCCUAAGCUGAGGCCGACAGGCGUAGGCGAUGGAUAACAGGUUGAUAUUCCUGUACCACCUAUAAUCGUUUUAAUCGAUGGGGGGACGCAGUAGGAUAGGCGAAGCGUGCGAUUGGAUUGCACGUCUAAGCAGUAAGGCUGAGUAUUAGGCAAAUCCGGUACUCGUUAAGGCUGAGCUGUGAUGGGGAGAAGACAUUGUGUCUUCGAGUCGUUGAUUUCACACUGCCGAGAAAAGCCUCUAGAUAGAAAAUAGGUGCCCGUACCGCAAACCGACACAGGUAGUCAAGAUGAGAAUUCUAAGGUGAGCGAGCGAACUCUCGUUAAGGAACUCGGCAAAAUGACCCCGUAACUUCGGGAGAAGGGGUGCUCUUUAGGGUUAACGCCCAGAAGAGCCGCAGUGAAUAGGCCCAAGCGACUGUUUAUCAAAAACACAGGUCUCUGCUAAACCGUAAGGUGAUGUAUAGGGGCUGACGCCUGCCCGGUGCUGGAAGGUUAAGAGGAGUGGUUAGCUUCUGCGAAGCUACGAAUCGAAGCCCCAGUAAACGGCGGCCGUAACUAUAACGGUCCUAAGGUAGCGAAAUUCCUUGUCGGGUAAGUUCCGACCCGCACGAAAGGCGUAACGAUUUGGGCACUGUCUCAACGAGAGACUCGGUGAAAUCAUAGUACCUGUGAAGAUGCAGGUUACCCGCGACAGGACGGAAAGACCCCGUGGAGCUUUACUGUAGCCUGAUAUUGAAAUUCGGCACAGCUUGUACAGGAUAGGUAGGAGCCUUUGAAACGUGAGCGCUAGCUUACGUGGAGGCGCUGGUGGGAUACUACCCUAGCUGUGUUGGCUUUCUAACCCGCACCACUUAUCGUG
rnacentral:rRNA from 1 species